CUCCCCGUAGCUCAGGCGGAAGAGCGCGCGUGUCCGAUGCGCGAGGCCGCGUGUUCGAACCACGCCGGGGAGGCCA
rnacentral:tRNA from 1 species